rnacentral:ncRNA from 1 species
UGUUCUCAGGGCGGGGUGAAACUCCCCACCGGCGGUAAGGAGAUUUCUCCAAGCCCGCGAGCGCCUUCUGCUUCUGGCGGAAGGGUCAGCAGAUCCGGUGCGAUUCCGGAGCCGACGGUUACAGUCCGGAUGAAAGAGAACG